CGAUGAGCCUCUCCUGGCCGAUCGUGUGGCCGAUCAUGAUCAUAUCACGGGUGAAUUUCGUGGAGCUGCUCAUAAUAGAUGCAACUUGAGACUUAGAAUUUGCCCUCAAACGAUUAGAAUCCCAGUCAUCUUUCACAACCUCAAGGGUUAUGAUGCUCACCACAUCAUAUCAACUCUCGGAAAGACUACGACGGACAUUGUAACGUAUCCGGACAGUAAAGGACGCAUUCGUACGAGACACCUCGGCAAGAUUGAUGUAAUUCCAUCCAACACGGAGAAGUAUAUUGCAUUUACGUGGCGUCAGUUCACAUUCCUUGAUAGUCUAGCAUUUCUGAAUGCAUCAUUGGACAAACUCGUACAGUCCACUCCGACGGAUGCAUUUCAUCAUACAGAGGCCUACUUUACUCAAGCUGAGCAGCGCGCCCUGGUGAUGAGAAAAGGAGUGUACCCAUAUGAACAUGUCACAUCAUUCGACACUUUCGAAGAGCUAUCCUUACCACCGAAAGAAGCAUUUCACUCGACUCUUUCUGGAAAGGGAGUCAGCGAUGAUGAGUAUGCACAUGCCAGGAGUGUGUGGGAUGUUUUCAACUGCAACAACUUUGGAGAUUAUCAUGAUCUGUACUUGACAACAGAUGUACUUCUGCUCUGCGAUGUUUUCGAACAUUUCAGGGAUAUGGCUCUUGAGACAUACGGGUUGGACCCCGUACAUUAUUUCACGCUCCCUGGGUUUGCAUGGGAUGCCUUGCUGAAGACAAC